rnacentral:rRNA from 1 species
UACGUAGGGUGCGAGCGUUGUCCGGAAUUAUUGGGCGUAAAGAGCUCGUAGGCGGUUCAGUAAGUCGGGUGUGAAAACUUUGGGCUUAACCCAAAGCGUGCAUCUGAUACUGCUGUGACUUGAGUUCGGUAGGGGAGUGGGGAAUUCCUAGUGUAGCGGUGAAAUGCGCAGAUAUUAGGAGGAACACCGGUGGCGAAGGCGCCACUCUGGGCCGAAACUGACGCUGAGGAGCGAAAGCAUGGGUAGCAAACAGG